GGUGGCUCAGUGGUAGAGUGCUUGCCUUACAUGCAUGAGGCCUUGGGUUCAAUUUCUUAACACCA
rnacentral:tRNA from 1 species